UACGGGGGGGGUAAGCGUUGUUCGGAAUUACUGGGCGUAAAGGGCUCGUAGGCGGCCAACUAAGUCAGACGUGAAAUCCCUCAGCUCAACUGGGGAACUGCGUCUGAUACUGGUCGGCUUGAGUGCAGGAGAGGAACGCGGAAUUCCAGGUGUAGCGGUGAAAUGCGUAGAUAUCUGGAGGAACACCGGUGGCGAAGGCGGCGUUCUGGACUGCAACUGACACUGAGGAACGAAAGCCAGGGGAGCAAACGGG
rnacentral:rRNA from 1 species